AUUGAACGCUGGCGGCAUGCCUUACACAUGCAAGUCGAACGGCAGCGGGGACUUCGGUCCGCCGGCGAGUGGCGAACGGGUGAGUAAUGUAUCGGAACGUACCAUUCAGUGGGGGAUAACUAUCCGAAAGGAUAGCUAAUACCGCAUAUUCUGUGAGCAGGAAAGCAGGGGAUCGCAAGACCUUGCGCUGAUUGAGCGGCCGAUAUCAGAUUAGCCAGUUGGUGAGGUAACGGCUCACCAAGGCUACGAUCUGUAGCGGGUCUGAGAGGAUGAUCCGCCACACUGGGACUGAGACACUGCCCAGACUCCUACGGGAGGCAGCAGUGGGGAAUUUUGGACAAUGGGCGCAAGCCUGAUCCAGCCAUGCCGCGUGAGUGAAGAAGGCCUUCGGGUUGUAAAGCUCUUUCGGCCGGGAAGAAAUCGCAUCAGCUAAUACCUGGUGUGGAUGACGGUACCGGAAUAAGAAGCACCGGCUAACUACGUGCCAGCCGCCGCAGUAAGAC
rnacentral:rRNA from 1 species